GGCGCUCCGCCCUCUUCCGUGCUGGGAAAGCUUUGCUUUUUCCUUCUUUGCAAUAAAUCUUGCUACUGCUCCUUUGGGUCUGCAUUGCCUUUAUGAGCUGUAACACUCACCGGGAAGGUCUGUAGCUUCACUCCUGAAGCCAGCGAGAUUGUGAACCCACCACGAGGAAGAAACUCUGAACACAUCCGAACAUCAAAAGGAACAAACUCCGAAUGCGCCACCUUUAAGAACUGUAAUACUCCCCGCAAGGGUCUGCGGCUUCAUUCUUGAAGUUGGUGAGACCAAGAACCCACCAAUUCCGGACACACCAGCACUUUAGGAGGCCGAGGGAGGCAGAUACCUGAUGAGGGCACAGAGAGUCUCCCUCUGGAAUUCCUUUAUCUGACCAAGAAAGCUUCUCACCAAAAGAAACACAAUUGCCUUCUAUCUCCUUCCUGAAGUCUCGUCAUCUAUUUCAGGAAAGAAGGCUGAAGAAUGACCUUUAUGCGUGAUUAACCAAAUGUAUGUCUUUCCUGAUGUACAGCUAAUUGCCAUAGACUAAUGCAGGCCUCUUUAUGAAAAUGGCUCGCCUGUUACUCAAACUUGGCCAAUUUCUGCAUGUUAUCUUUUGACAACUCACCUCUGUGGGACAAGCCACUCUAAAAUCAGACAUUUCUAGCUCCAAAGACAAUAUAUAGCCAAUCUAUGGCCAACCAAUAAUAAUUGAUCACCAGUGCUGCCUCCUGUCAGAUCUUGAUCAAAACAGGGAAUGUGAAAUGUGAUAUACAAAAUGGAUCACUCUGGUUCAGAGCUCUAAAAUUAAAUCAGGGCUGGGUGCAUUGGCUCACACCUGUAAUCUCCAGUUUGGGAGGCCAAGGCAGGAGGAUUGCUUGAGCUCAGGAGUUCAAGGGCAACAUAGUGAGACCUUGUCUCUACUAAAAACAACUACAAAAAUCAGUUUGGUAUGAUAGCAUGUGACUAGUUCCAGUUACUCAGGAGGCUGAAGUGGGAGGAUCACUUGAACUUGGGAGGUCAACGCUUCCAGGAGCUGCAAUCACACCACUAUACUCUAGCCUAGGUGACAGAGUGAGACCCUGUCUCAAAAAUAAAUAAAUAAAUCAAUCAAAUUGGGAAGCCAUUCAAAGAAGUACUAAUUCUAUAAAACCUGCAACCUUGGAAAUAAAAAAACCCAGAAAUUGCCUUAAACCUUUGAACUGGGCCAAAUCCCCAUGACCAAAACAUCUUGGAAAAUAGAUAAAUUUUGCCAGCACUAUAACUCCUAAACAGCAGCUACAACCAAUGGACUAUGGACUCAUGUACUAAGCCAGCCUCCUCUACCAACAAUAAUUCUUUCAAAACAACUAGUGUAAUCACCCUCGGCAUCUUUUUAAAAAUUACUACUCCCCUUUCUUUUUCAGAACACAAUGUGGCCUUUGACCACGUCUGUUUCUCCUGAAUCACAAUUCCUAAGACCCCAAUAAGUGUCUUACUGCUUUGCAGUCCGGCCUUUCAUGCUUCUUGAUUAACAAGAAUAACAUGAGAAACUUACAUUUUAAUGGCAUCAUUUUGCUGAUGUAUUGAGUAUUAACUGGAGAGAGGCAAAAGAAAACUCAAGGAGACUAGUUAAGAGAUUAUGGAAAUAAUCCAGGCAAGAGAUGUUGAUGACUUGUCUCAAGGCAGUAGUGGUAAAGAUGGAGAAAAAUGAUCAAAGUGUGUGUGUGUAUGUGUGUGUAUUCAAGAUAUGGUCUUGCUAUGUUGUCCAAGCUGGACUCGAACUCCUGGACUCAAGCGACUGUCCCACCUCUGCCUCCUGAGUAGAUGGAAGCUGGGACUAUAGGUGUGUGCCACACAUGGCAGAUUCUGUAAAUAUUUUAAAGAAGGUGCCAACAGCAUUUGUUAAUAGACUGAACAUGGGAUGGGAGAGAAAUCGAGGAAUAAAAGAUGAUUCCAGGACUUGUGCCUAAGCAACUAGAAGGAUCCCAUUGAAUUAGUUCAGAAAGACUGAAAGGAGCAUAUUUUGAUGGGGAGGGAUAGGGAUGAUCGGGAAUUUAGUCUGCGACAUGUUAACUGUAAGAUGCUCACCUGCUAUCCGAUGAACGUGUCAAGAGUAAAUAGUUGGAGUCACCUUGAGAUUGGAAGAUAUUACUAAGGGAGAAAGUACAGACGGAAAAGAGAAUAGUUCCAAAGACUGCAGAGGGGACAGCAAGGAUGAUUAACAAAGGAGGCUAAGGAAUAGUGGCGAGUGAGGUGGCAAGGUAAUUGGGAGUGUGUGGUGGUGUCCUGGAGGUCAACUAAAGAAAAGACUUCAAGGAGGAGGCAAUGAUAAAUGCAGAUGGCACUGUUAUAUAAGAUGAGAAUGAAGAAUUGAUAAUUGGCUGCAGCAGCUCAGAGGUCACUGAUGACCUUGACAAGAACAAUUUGUGUUGACCAGUGAGAGUGAAAGCCUAACUGUAGUGAACUUAAGAGAAAUGACUCAACAGAUACUUGUAUGCACAUGUUCAUGGCAGCAGUGUUCACAAUAGCCCCAAAAUGGAAACAACCCAAGUGUCCAUCAACCAGAAAAUGAGGCCGGGCAUGGUGGUUCACGCCUUUAAUCCCAGCACUUUGGGAGGCCGAGGCAGGCGGAUCACAAGGUUGAGAUCGAGACCAUCCUGGCCAGCAUGGUGAAACCCUGUCUCUACAAAAAUACAAGAAUUAGCUGGGCGUGGUGGCGCAUGCCUGUAGUCCCAGCUACUUGGGAGACGGAGGCAGGAGAAUCGCUUGAACCCAGGAGGUGGAGGUUGCAGUGAGCCAAGACUGUGCCACUGUACUCCAGCCUGGCGACAGAGCAAGACUCUGUCUCAAAACAAAAACAAGAACAAAAACAAAAAAAGGGAAAUGGCUAAAUACAAUGUGCUAUAUGCAUACAAUGGAAUAUUACUCAGCCAUGAAAAGGAAUGAAAUUCUGACUCAUGCUACCAUAUAGACAAACCUUUAAAACAUUAUGCUGUGUGAAAGAAGCCAGACACAAAAGAAUAAAUACUGCAUGAUUCCACUUAGAGAGGUACCCAGCGUGUCGAAUUCAGAGACAGAAAGUAGAACGGCGCCCCUAGGGGCUGGGGGCAGGGGAGAAUGGGAGCUAUUGGUUAAGGAGUAUGCAGUUUCUGUUUGGAAUGAUGAAAAAUUCUAGAAGUGGACAGUGUUGAUGGUUGGACAACAUAGUGAAAGUAAUUCGUGCCCCUGAAUUGUAUACUUGAAAACAGUUAAAAUGGUAAAUUUUAUUAUAUAUACUUAACCACAAUAAAUUGGCUGGGCAUGGUAUCUCAUGCCUGUGAUUCCAGCACUUUGCAAGGCCGAGGCGGGAGGAUUGCUUGAGUCCAAGAGUUCGAGACCAGAAUGGGCAACAUAGUGAGACCUGCCCCCACCAAAAAAAAAAAAAAAUUGAAAAAAAAAAUUUUUAAUGACUCUCUAACAAAACAAAACCAUAAUUGAAAAAGAAAAAUUGAAAACAACAUAGACAAGUCUUCCAUGAAGUUUUGUUUUAAAGAGUCGGGGGAACAAAGAAAUGAGGCACUAGUAGAAGAGGGAAAGGGGUCAAAAAAGGAUUUUGUUUUCAGAAGGGUGAAAUUACAAGUUGUUUUAUGCCAAUUGAAAUGAUCCAAGAGAAAAGUAAGAAAUGAUAAUGCAGGAGAGGGGAGGGUAGCUCCAACAGUGCCACUGAGUAAGCGAGAGGAGAAGGGGUCCAGUGCUGAGUGGCAGUGUGGCCUUUGCUAGCAGGACAGCGAGAGGAGAAGGGGUCCAGCGCUGAGUGGCAGUGUGGCCUUUGCUAGCAGGACAGCGAGAGGAGAAGGGGUCCAGCGCUGAGUGGCAGUGUGGCCUUUGCUAGCAGGACAGCGAGAGGAGAAGGGGUCCAGCGCUGAGUGGCAGUGUGGCGUUUGCUAGUAGGACAGCGAGAGGAGAAGGGGUCCAGCGCUGAGUGGCAGUGUGGCCUUUGCUAGCAGGACAGCGAGAGGAGAAGGGGUCCAGCGCUGAGUGGCAGUGUGGCCUUUGCUAGCAGGACAGAAAGGGGAAUUCUGUGAUGAGAAAUGCUGAGAUUAUGAGAUUCUGUACCAUCUUGAUUGGGGGAAGGCAGAGUCCGUGGCUCCACAUGCUGGGGAAUAGGGGAAAUUCUCUAUUGUCCUCUGACUGCUUUUAUUUUCUCUCUGAAAUAGGAAGUAUAUUCAUUGUGGUAGACUGAGUAAUGGCCCCCCAACGAUGUCCAUGUCCUAAACCCUGAGAUCUGUGACUGUGUUACCUUACAUGGCCAAAGGAACUUGGCAGAUGUGAUUAAGGAGGCCAAGGAGUCCCACGAUCUGCCAUUGGCAAGCUGGAUCCAGGAGAGCCGAUGGUGAGUCAGAAGUCAGAAGGCCUGCGAG